GAAAGUGACUCAAGACAGCAUUUAAUGUUAGUAGGUCCUAGUCAUAAUGCCCACAUGAGAGAGAAAAUAACUGCACAGAAUUCUGAAGGAAGAGAGACCAUUACGGUCUGUGGCAGUGUGAGGAAGCUUGGAGGGAGUGAGGGAUUUUAAUUGGACCUUAAGCAGAUAGAGGAUUGUCAGAGAUUUUAGGUCAGGAAACAGAAUAAGGAGGCUGAAGAAUACACCAUGUUGAGAUUGCAGAGUACAGAGGAGGAAACCAGUUCCCUCCAUGAGUUUGUAACUGUGGAAGACUAGCUUUACUGGAGUGGAAAACUUAGCUGGAAACAGCUGGAUAUAAUGUUGGAAAUGGUGAGUCCAAAUUUUGUAAUGUCUUGAAAGUCUUAUUAAGGCUUUUGGUAUUGAUGAAAGCAACAGUCCAAGAGUUAAAUGGUUUGAGUUAGAAUUUUAGCAAUGGUACUUUUUACCCUUUGACUUCUGUCAUGGAUAACAUCAUAUUUCCCCAUCAGUUUAUUUCAGGCAAUCAAGUAAAAGAAUAUAUAUAAUAAAGUAAUUUGUAUAUUAUAGAAUUCUAUGCAAAUAAAUAGGUACAUAAGUAGCCAAGAAGUUUUAAGUAGAGAGAUAUGAGAAAAUUGGAGAAUGUAAACUGUCAAUAGAAUGCAAGGUAGAUUUGAUAAGGAAGAGAUUAAAGUCAGGAAAACAGGCAAUGGUGGCAGUAAUCCAAUAUUGCGGAAUGUGUUCAGUGGUGUUUUUCGUGACUGUGCUUAAGCUAAACUUGGUCAAUGUGUGAUUUAGCACAGGGAACCUGUAAUGAUGUGCUAAUUUCCCACCACGCAACUGCAUCCUUUUACCAAACUAAUAUGGCCCAAUCGAAAGGUAAUAGAUGGAGGUUUUUAAAAAUGGAAUUUGAGGGUGGGAAGCUGACAGAUACUCUUUUUUAGCACAGUAAGAUUUAGAAACAGGCAAUAGAGAUCACUUAUGUCUGAGCCAGGUAUAUGAUUGAUUUUUUGAAUUUUCUUCUUUGAGCUAGAAAACCAUGAUAUUCUGACUCAAGAACAAAAUUCUCCUCUUCCUGCUGUACUAUUUUAUGUCUCUGAUAUGGAUGCAAGACCUAAAUGGUUGUGGGUCCUUGAGUAUGGAAGAGAAGGAACGGUUUUUUAAAAGAAAAAAGGAACUGGGUAGCACAAAGUGCUGUGAUGUGGCUUGGCUCUGUGUCCCCACCCAAGUCUCAUGUCCAGUGUUGGGUAAGUGACCCGGUGGGAAGUGAAUGGAUCAUGGGGGCGGAUUUCUCCCUUGCUGUUCUUGUGAUAGCGAGAUCUGGUUGUUUAAAGGUAUGUGGCACUUUCCCCCUUAGCUCUUGCUCUCUCUCUCUCCCCUGCUCCACCAUGGUAAGAUGUCCUUGCUUCCCCUUCACCCCUCUGCCAUGAUUAUAAGUUUCCUGAGGUCUCCCAGCCAUGCUUCCUGUAGCCUGUGGAAAUAUGAGUCAAUUUAACCUCUCUUCUUCAUAAAUUACCCAGUCUCAGGUAGUUCUAUAAAGAACUAUUGUAAUACAUACAAGAUAAUUGUGGGGAGAGAAGGAUAUAUAUUUAUGUAUUUAUACAUCUGUAUAUUUAUAUAUAAUAUAUAAAAGCAUAUAUAUGUAUAUGUAUUCACAUCUAUUGAGUACCUAUUUAAUGCUUGUUAGCUAUUCAUUGAAUACUUACUGAAUCUCAAUUAUGGUACUCAUAAACAUGGAAGAUAAUUAUUGUUUUUCUCACAUUGUACAAUUAAAGAGGGGUACUGAGAGUGUAAGGAUCUAAUCAAAGAGUUAAUAAGACAUCAUUAACUUAUUAUCUUUUAUCUGGGAGCAUUCUCACCCAGAUAAAAAAUUCCGUUUUCUGAAAAAUCUCGGAUCACUAAAUCCUUAUUCAUUUCUCUCUAUCCAUUCCAAUCCUACUACAAACUGAGAAUUAAAGUCAUUUUCUAUAAAUAAUAACAUGCAAAUUUCUCACUGAUUUGUGCUUUUUUCAAAAUAUAGUGUUGUGGUUGUUAGAAGCAAUGUUGUGGUUGUAUUUGGUGUCUUUCCAACUUCCCACCAACUCUUCAGUAUCCUUAAGAGACCACUACACCAGUGUCAGUGUAACUUCUCACUUCUUACUGGAGAAGCAUUCAGGAAUGUAGAUACCCCACAGCUCUCUCUGCAGGUGCACCUUGUUCUCAGGUUCUUUCUGUGGGUGACACAAAUGUGCCAAUGCUCAGCACUUCUCAGGAAACUUGAGGGUAAAAUAUUAAUAUGUCUUAGGGGUGAAAGUGGGGUUGAUGAGAUGUAGCAAAAAAGAAAUUAGGCUUGACAUGAAAGGAGAAGGGAAGUAAAAUUCAUUAACAUUAGGGUUGGGUGUGCUACAGACACAGAAAAAUGAUGUGACUUCUUAAGUAUAUAUUGUUAUUCUCAAUAGGGAGGCACAAACUAAUUUUUCUCUUUAGUUGUGUUUAUUCUCUACUUCCUGCAUUUUUGGAAGAGGGGUUCUUGUUGAUUCUUGCACCUAGCUACUCAACUAAGUCAAUAAAUUAUAUUGGAGGAGGAAUGGAAGAAAAAUAAUGUUGAUUUUAUUUUAUUACCUAUGUAUUUUGUACACACAGAAAAUUUAUGUAUGAGAGGUGGCAUUUGUUAAAUAUAUGAAUUUUUAAUGUAUCUAAUCACUGUAUUCUUUGUCAGUGGUAAGAGGAAAGCAUCCUUCAUUUUUCAUGCGGACCUUUGUUUUAUAUGAAAGCUUUUCAGGGAAGAAAGCACAAAUUCAAUGAGCUAUCAGAAUGCGAAUUUGGAUGUUAGUGAUAACUUUUACAUUGCAAUGAAUCUUCUUAGAAUAUAAUCCUCAAUUUUGAGUUAUCUAUACCUUAGAGAAAUUUUUACAACUACAUUGCAGAGAAAGGAGCUAAUCACCAGCAUACACGGUGUCAAGGGUAGAGAUCCCGUUAGAGACUGCCUGAGUUUCAGUCCUAUCUCUUUUGCCCAGUUUCUCCCUUCUGUAAAGUAGUCAUGAUAACAGAGUUCACCUCAUAGGUUUGUUUGUUAUGCAAAUUCAGUGAUUUAACAUUUAUGAAACACUUAGAACAGACUUGGCACAUGCUUAGCACUACAUGGUUGGCUGUUAAUAAGCAAAAGCAAGCAAACCACUCCUUUGUGGGGUAGAAACAUAUUUCAACAUAGAGAGGAAUAUGUUGUUUUUAGCAAAAAAAAAAAAAAUCCAUGUUUAUUUGCAGUGGUAGAUAUUUUGCAUAUUCAUUUGCUUUUCAUUUUUGUGUACUGGUUUCCAAUAAUGUGAUAUUUUUAUAUUAUAUUUCUUAGAUGCUGAUAUUAUCCCCAAAACUUUUGUUUCUACUUUUUUGUAAGGCAGAGAGACAGACUGUGUAUGUGUGUACAAUUGUGUGCAAUGUAGCAAAUAUUAUUUCCCAUUAUUAUUCAUACAGGCUAAAAAUUUACAUAGUAUAUUUAAGUAAUUUGUUAAUCUUAUCUCUGAUUUAUCUAAAACAUUUUAGGUAAACAUCACAAUGUUUAGUUUAAAUUCUAGUCUCAGCAGUUACAUUUGAAAAGGUUAAGUCUUAUGACUUGUCAGUAUUAAUAAUCCAUUUGCAAUUACCAUACUAAUUUGUUCCAUAUGCCUAUAAAAUAUUUCUCUGAGCUACUAAAUUAUCACCUACUGAGAAGUUAAAAAUAUCUAUUUGAUACUUUUUCCAACAGAGAAGCAAUUCUGCUUCAAUCCUGAGUGGCGCUAAAUUGUAUAUUGAAAUAUAUCCUAUCAAGUAAUAUCAUCUUUGUAGCUGUUAAUUAUAUCCAUGAUUAUCUAACAGGAUUAUUAAUGUAUUUUUUUCUGCUCUCAAUAUAUCAGUGAUGGCAAAGAGACCUUAUUUUGAGACUUGUCACAGUUCUAAUUUGGAUAUUUUUGGAAAAAUACAUUAAGUACUCAUGUUUCAUUAACUUCUUUGGAUACUUAGAUAUGUACAUGAUAUAAAAUAAAGUGAAUAAGG
rnacentral:lncRNA from 1 species